rnacentral:rRNA from 1 species
UACGAAGGGGGCUAGCGUUGCUCGGAAUUACUGGGCGUAAAGCGCACGUAGGCGGCUUCUUAAGUCGGUGGUGAAAUCCUGGAGCUCAACUCCAGAACCGCCUUCGAUACUGGGAGCUCGAGUCCGGAAGAGGUUGGUGGAACUGCGAGUGUAGAGGUGAAAUUCGUAGAUAUUCGCAAGAACACCAGUGGCGAAGGCGGCCAAACUGGUCCGGUACUGACGCUGAGGUGCGAAAGC